AUACGGAGGGUGCAAGCGUUAUCCGGAAUCAUUGGGUUUAAAGGGUUCGCAGGCGGAGUAAUAAGUCAGUGGUGAAAUCCUCUCGCUCAACGAGAGAACUGCCAUUGAAACUGUUAGCCUUGAAUUCGGUCGAAGUAGGCGGAAUGUGUCAUGUAGCGGUGAAAUGCAUAGAUAUGACACAGAACACCGAUAGCGAAGGCAGCUUACUAGACCUGGAUUGACGCUCAUGGACGAAAGCGUGGGGCGCGAACAGGAUUAGAAACCCCAGUAGUCC
rnacentral:rRNA from 1 species